UGGGGAAUUUUGGACAAUGGGCGAAAGCCUGAUCCAGCAAUGCCGCGUGUGUGAAGAAGGCCUUCGGGUUGUAAAGCACUUUUGUCCGGAAAGAAAUCCUUGGCUCUAAUACAGUCGGGGGAUGACGGUACCGGAAGAAUAAGCACCGGCUAACUACGUGCCAGCAGCCGCGGUAAUACGUAGGGUGCAAGCGUUAAUCGGAAUUACUGGGCGUAAAGCGUGCGCAGGCGGUUUGCUAAGACCGAUGUGAAAUCCCCGGGCUCAACCUGGGAACUGCAUUGGUGACUGGCAGGCUAGAGUAUGGCAGAGGGGGGUAGAAUUCCACGUGUAGCAGUGAAAUGCGUAGAGAUGUGGAGGAAUACCGAUGGCGAAGGCAGCCCCCUGGGCCAAUACUGACGCUCAUGCACGAAAGCGUGGGGAGCAAACAGGAUUAGAUACCCUGGUAGUCCACGCCCUAAACGAUGUCAACUAGUUGUUGGGGAUUCAUUUCCUUAGUAACGUAGCCAACGCGUGAAGUUGACCGCCUGGGGAGUACGGUCGCAAGAUUAAACUCAAAGGAAUUGACGGGGUCAUAGCUGUUUCC
rnacentral:rRNA from 1 species